GACUCUCGGCAACGGAUAUCUCGGCUCUUGUCACGAUGAAGAACGUAGCGAAAUGCGAUACUUAGUGUGAAUUGCAGAAUCCUAUGAAUCAUCGAGUUUUUGAACGCAAUUUGCGUCCGAGGCGUCGGUCAAGGACUGUAA
rnacentral:rRNA from 1 species